CGGGAGAUAGCUGGUUCUCCCCGAAAGCUAUUUAGGUAGCGCCUCGUGAAUUCAUCUCCGGGGGUAGAGCACUGUUUCGGCAAGGGGGUCAUCCCGACUUACCAACCCGAUGCAAACUGCGAAUACCGGAGAAUGUUAUCACGGGAGACACACGGCGGGUGCUAACGUCCGUCGUGAAGAGGGAAACAACCCAGACCGCCAGCUAAGGUCCCAAAGUCAUGGUUAAGUGGGAAACGAUGUGGGAAGGCCCAGACAGCCAGGAUGUUGGCUUAGAAGCAGCCAUCAUUUAAAGAAAGCGUAAUAGCUCACUGGUCGAGUCGGCCUGCGCGGAAGAUGUAACGGGGCUAAACCAUGCACCGAAGCUGCGGCAGCGACGCUUAUGCGUUGUUGGGUAGGGGAGCGUUCUGUAAGCCUGUGAAGGUGUGCUGUGAGGCAUGCUGGAGGUAUCAGAAGUGCGAAUGCUGACAUAAGUAACGAUAAAGCGGGUGAAAAGCCCGCUCGCCGGAAGACCAAGGGUUCCUGUCCAACGUUAAUCGGGGCAGGGUGAGUCGACCCCUAAGGCGAGGCCGAAAGGCGUAGUCGAUGGGAAACAGGUUAAUAUUCCUGUACUUGGUGUUACUGCGAAGGGGGGACGGAGAAGGCUAUGUUGGCCGGGCGACGGUUGUCCCGGUUUAAGCGUGUAGGCUGGUUUUCCAGGCAAAUCCGGAAAAUCAAGGCUGAGGCGUGAUGACGAGGCACUACGGUGCUGAAGCAACAAAUGCCCUGCUUCCAGGAAAAGCCUCUAAGCAUCAGGUAACAUCAAAUCGUACCCCAAACCGACACAGGUGGUCAGGUAGAGAAUACCAAGGCGCUUGAGAGAACUCGGGUGAAGGAACUAGGCAAAAUGGUGCCGUAACUUCGGGAGAAGGCACGCUGAUAUGUAGGUGAGGUCCCUCGCGGAUGGAGCUGAAAUCAGUCGAAGAUACCAGCUGGCUGCAACUGUUUAUUAAAAACACAGCACUGUGCAAACACGAAAGUGGACGUAUACGGUGUGACGCCUGCCCGGUGCCGGAAGGUUAAUUGAUGGGGUUAGCGGUAACGCGAAGCUCUUGAUCGAAGCCCCGGUAAACGGCGGCCGUAACUAUAACGGUCCUAAGGUAGCGAAAUUCCUUGUCGGGUAAGUUCCGACCUGCACGAAUGGCGUAAUGAUGGCCAGGCUGUCUCCACCCGAGACUCAGUGAAAUUGAACUCGCUGUGAAGAUGCAGUGUACCCGCGGCAAGACGGAAAGACCCCGUGAACCUUUACUAUAGCUUGACACUGAACAUUGAGCCUUGAUGUGUAGGAUAGGUGGGAGGCUUUGAAGUGUGGACGCCAGUCUGCAUGGAGCCGACCUUGAAAUACCACCCUUUAAUGUUUGAUGUUCUAACGUUGACCCGUAAUCCGGGUUGCGGACAGUGUCUGGUGGGUAGUUUGACUGGGGCGGUCUCCUCCUAAAGAGUAACGGAGGAGCACGAAGGUUGGCUAAUCCUGGUCGGACAUCAGGAGGUUAGUGCAAUGGCAUAAGCCAGCUUGACUGCGAGCGUGACGGCGCGAGCAGGUGCGAAAGCAGGUCAUAGUGAUCCGGUGGUUCUGAAUGGAAGGGCCAUCGCUCAACGGAUAAAAGGUACUCCGGGGAUAACAGGCUGAUACCGCCCAAGAGUUCAUAUCGACGGCGGUGUUUGGCACCUCGAUGUCGGCUCAUCACAUCCUGGGGCUGAAGUAGGUCCCAAGGGUAUGGCUGUUCGCCAUUUAAAGUGGUACGCGAGCUGGGUUUAGAACGUCGUGAGACAGUUCGGUCCCUAUCUGCCGUGGGCGCUGGAGAACUGAGGGGGGCUGCUCCUAGUACGAGAGGACCGGAGUGGACGCAUCACUGGUGUUCGGGUUGUCAUGCCAAUGGCACUGCCCGGUAGCUAAAUGCGGAAGAGAUAAGUGCUGAAAGCAUCUAAGCACGAAACUUGCCCCGAGAUGAGUUCUCCCUGACUCCUUGAGAGUCCUGAAGGAACGUUGAAGACGACGACGUUGAUAGGCCGGGUGUGUAAGCGCAGCGAUGCGUUGAGCUAACCGGUACUAAUGAACCGUGAGGCUUAACCUUACAACGCCGAAG
rnacentral:rRNA from 1 species